GUGGGGAAUAUUGGACAAUGGGCGAAAGCCUGAUCCAGCCAUGGCGCGUGUGUGAAGAAGGUCUUCGGAUUGUAAAGCACUUUAAGUUGGGAGGAAGGGUAGUAACCUAAUACGUUGCUACUUUGACGUUACCGACAGAAUAAGCACCGGCUAACUUCGUGCCAGCAGCCGCGGUAAUACGAAGGGUGCAAGCGUUAAUCGGAAUUACUGGGCGUAAAGCGCGCGUAGGUGGUUCAGUAAGUUGGAAGUGAAAUCCCCGGGCUCAACCUGGGAACUGCUUUCAAAACUGCUGAGCUAGAGUACGGUAGAGGGUGGUGGAAUUUCCUGUGUAGCGGUGAAAUGCGUAGAUAUAGGAAGGAACACCAGUGGCGAAGGCGACCACCUGGACUGAUACUGACACUGAGGUGCGAAAGCGUGGGGAGCAAACAGGAUUAGAAACCCUUGUAGUCC
rnacentral:rRNA from 1 species